rnacentral:rRNA from 1 species
AACGAACGCUGGCGGCAUGCCUAACACAUGCAAGUCGAACGAACCCUUCGGGGUUAGUGGCGCACGGGUGCGUAACGCGUGGGAAUCUGCCCUUGGCUUCGGAAUAACAGUUAGAAAUGACUGCUAAUACCGGAUGAUGUCUUCGGACCAAAGACUUAUCGGCCAGGGAUGAGCCCGCGUAGGAUUAGGUAGUUGGUGGGGUAAAGGACUACCAAGCCGACGAUCCUUAGCUGGUCUGAGAGGAUGAUCAGCCACACUGGGACUGAGACACGGCCCAGACUCCUACGGGAGGAAGCAGUGGGGAAUAUUGGACAAUGGGCGCAAGCCUGCUCCGGCAGUGCCGCGUGAGUGAUGAAGGCCCUCGGGUCGUAAAGCUCUUUUACCCGAGAUGAUAAUGACAGUACCGGGAGAAUAAGCCCCGGCUAACUCCGUGCCAGCAGCCGCUGUAA